rnacentral:rRNA from 1 species
AUUGAACGCUGGCGGCAUGCUUUACACAUGCGAGUCGAACGGUAACAGGGAGCUUGCUCCGCUGACGAGUGGCGAACGGGUGAGUAAUAUAUCGGAACGUACCCAAGAGUGGGGGAUAACGUAGCGAAAGUUACGCUAAUACCGCAUACGAUCUAUGGAUGAAAGCAGGGGACCUUCGGGCCUUGUGCUCCUGGAGCGGCCGAUAUCUGAUUAGCUAGUUGGUGAGGUAAAGGCUCACCAAGGCGACGAUCAGUAGCUGGUCUGAGAGGACGACCAGCCACACUGGAACUGAGACACGGUCCAGACUCCUACGGGAGGCAGCAGUGGGGAAUGUUGGACAAUGGGCGCAAGCCUGAUCCAGCAAUGCCGCGUGAGUGAAGAAGGCCUUCGGGUUGUAAAGCUCUUUUGUCAGGGAAGAAACGGCUGUGGCUAAUAUCCACGGCUAAUGACGGUACCUGAAGAAUAAGCACCGGCUAACUACGUG